UACCCUUUGAUCAUGGCUCAGAACGAACGCUGGCGGCGUGCCUAACACAUGCAAGUCGAGCGCGAAAGUUCCUUCGGNANNGAGUAGAGCGGCGGACGGGUGAGUAAUACGUGGGUAAUCUGCCCCNGAGCUCGGGAUAACAGUGCGAAAGCGCUGCUAAUACCGGAUAAGACCACAUGACAUAUGUCGUGCGGUAAAAGGUGGCUUUAUUUUCGGAUGAGGCUAUCACUUGAGGAUGAGCCCAUGGCCUAUCAGCUUGUUGGUGAGGUAAAAGCUCACCAAGGCGAUGACGGGUAGCUGGUCUAAGAGGACGACCAGCCACACUGGGACUGAGACACGGCCCAGACUCCUACGGGAGGCAGCAGUGGGGAAUAUUGGGCAAUGGGCGAAAGCCUGACCCAGCGACGCCGUGUGGGCGAUGAAGGCCUUCGGGUUGUAAAGCCCUGUGAGGUGGAAAGAAGGGUCCAGAGGUUAAUACCCUUUGGACUUUGACGGUACCACCAGAGGAAGCACCGGCUAACUCCGUGCCAGCAGCCGCGGUAAUACGGAGGGUGCAAGCGUUGUUCGGAAUUACUGGGCGUAAAGGGCGCGUAGGUGGUUGUGUAAGUCAGAUGUGAAAUCCUCAGGCUUAACCUGAGAACUGCAUCUGAUACUGCAUGACUCGAGUACAGCAGAGGGAAACGGAAUUCCUGGUGUAGAGGUGAAAUUCGUAGAUAUCAGGAGGAACACCGGUGGCGAAGGCGGUUUCCUGGGCUGAUACUGACACUGAG
rnacentral:rRNA from 1 species